rnacentral:lncRNA from 1 species
UCGAAACUCAGUUAUAAACAUGCAAACACGUUUUACAAAAUGUGUGGUUGGAAGAAUGAGUACGAGAAUUAAUAUAAAAUUCAUUUUAAAGGGAGACAAAACAUGGGCUAAACCAACAAGAUUUACUAUCCAACCCAACAAUUAAAAAAAGACUAAAAUAAAAAGAGAAAAAAUAAACAUUUCUUCCUUCAUUUACAUUUUACAUAGACAAAUUGGGCGGAAAAAGUGUGUUGAGAGUUGAAGGUUACUAAUGCAAAUCAGUACCAUCAAUUGCUGAAAACAAGAUUGGCCAACUUGAGGGUGGCAAAUUACUUUAUAUCUUCAGAAACAAGAUUGCCCAACUUGAAAGUGGCAGAUAAGUCCAAAUCUAAAUCCUACAUUGAAAAGGAAUAUUAUUGUUAGUACGCAUAAAAAAUCUUAUCAAUGAAAAUUGACUUACAGGUGAAAUUAACCCCCCAAAAAAAGAAAAAGAAAAAAGAAAAAAAGAGAGGGAAUUUACAUGGUAUGAUUGUUUGGAAAUGAAUAGCUCAUUUCUAUCUUUCUUUGUGUUCUUAGGAUAUAUCCUCUUGUCAUGAUCUAACCCUUUGUAUAAUGCACAUUGACACCUUUUAUUUUUCUGUGUCAACUCACUACUUGAUUUAAAGUUUAAACCUUCUUGAACCAACGUUACAUUUCUCAUCCUUUUUUCGUCCUUUUUGUGACUGAAACCUUGGGAUCCGAUAGCACAAAUUGAGAACUCUCCUCGUAUAAAUAUCUAAUUCCUAUGGGGAAGAAUCGACGUGAGUCUCUGUUUCAAUAUUUAUGCCAUAAACAAUUGGUAUCCUUCAUUUGGUAGCAUGACAAGCUGAGUGAGUGUAGCUUUUCUACGCCCAAUGUUUCACAUAAAUGGAAAACACGCACGACAUGACACAAAGAAAGGAGGGUGGAGAAAUUCAACUUUGCUUCAUGCUGCUGCGUCAAGGGUUUGAAUCCUGAAAUAUGAAUUUGGCUCUUGGAUAAGUGUAAGUGUACAAACAGCCUUCCACUCUGUACCUUUGGAGGCAUAACCUGUUAUUUACCUCCCUCACGAUACUUCAGGGCAGGAGCGGUGGGGGAUCCUUAAGGUUGGGGUUCAACCUUUAAGAAAUGCUAUUUAUUGAGAUAAAAAAAAAGGGACAUGAAAUGUUGGGAAACGUUAUAUUAAAAUUAUUAAUUUAAUUUCAUAAAAUUAACAUUCAACUUUUAAAAACUCUAUAAUAUAAAUUAAAUAACAAAUAUUCCAUAAUCUAUGCAACUAAGAUCUUGACAUAAAAUUAUUGUCAUCUCAAAAGUCAAAACAAUUAUUGAUGAUGAAUCAAUACUCAAUCUAAAAAAAAUUCAUAAGUUCUCAAAUCUAGUUGCUUAGCUGCAUCAUCACCGUCAAUAUCUAUAACACUAUCAUCAGCAUCAUUGAAUAGCAUGAACUCCAUCUCUAAUUCAUCUAAAGAAAGCUUUGCAAUAUUCAGCGUUCCAACAUCUUCAAAAGAGUCAAAUUGACCCCAAAAGUAUUAACAUAUGAAUACUACUCUCUAAUAAUAUAUUAAUAUCGAAACUAAAUCUACUAAUGAAUAUCGAUGUACAAACGACAAACUUAAAAGUAAUUUUCAAACAACUUAUUUAUGCAAUUUAAUGUAAAAAAACUCAAAUAUAUAGUGAAUUACUUGCUUUGCUCAAAGUGGGAAUGAUUGCUCUAUACACGUCUAGUAUCUUCCUCAAUGUCUAUAGACUCUCAAAAAACAAUCACACGAUAAUCAGGAUAUUUAGGUUUAUGCUAAAAUCUAGUAUUAUAAUACUAUAAUUUAAGUUAAUUUUAAGCCAAAUUCCAUAAGUAAGCCAAACUCCAUAAUCUAGUACCACGAAUCAUCAAAUCGAAACGAAUAUUGAAUGAAAACAAAAAUUGAAAAGGAGAUUCAAAAUAAAUAAUUUCCAAUCGUUAACCUUUUUUUUGGCUGCAAAUCUUCAGCCUUAAUUCUCCGUUGAUGCCAAUUUCACAAACCCGUUUCUUGAGAUUCCAAUCACCAUUUAGAAGCGAAGAAUGGUUACAGAUGGUGCAAUUAUUUUAUUUUAUUUUUUCAAAAAGGGCUUAUGAAAAGGUAAUUGGUGAUUUUUAAGGUUA